UUUUUUUUUUUUUUUUUUUUUUUUUUUUGUUUUGCUUUUCGUACGGAGU
rnacentral:ribozyme from 1 species